UACGUAGGGUGCGAGCGUUGUCCGGAAUUACUGGGCGUAAAGAGCUCGUAGGCGGUCUGUCGCGUCGGCUGUGAAAUCCCGAGGCUCAACCUCGGGUCUGCAGUCGAUACGGGCAAACUAGAGUAUUGCAGGGGAGACUGGAAUUCCUGGUGUAGCGGUGAAAUGCGCAGAUAUCAGGAGGAACACCGGUGGCGAAGGCGGUUCUCUGGGCCUGUACUGACGCUGAGGAGCGAAAGCGUGGGGAGCAAACAGG
rnacentral:rRNA from 1 species